AACGCGCCCUCUUCCAUACAAAUCGAGAAACCUGGCCGCGGAAGGUUUCUCUUCUAAAUAUAUUUUCGGAAAAUUCGCAUUUUAUAUAAGAGUACCGCUGUAACAAGCGGGUAUUUGUACGUCGAUAGUUUUAUGUGUUCAACGGAUAUCAUUUACUGCGAUUAAGGCUCUCUAUGGCCGGUUAAACUGACUACUAAAAAUAGAACAGUGCCCGAUACAUUAGUAGGAAAAUCUAGUGCGAGGUUUCCAUUCAUAAAAUCUAUCAUUUGGUGGUCGGUCGUGACGACACGGUAUCGGCGCAUAAUUAAAAUUUAUCGGUGAAUUCACAUCGUUGGCUGGAACAGAGUGAACAAUCAAUAACAGCGUCGCCGUUGAAGGAGUUUUCGUCUAAAAAGUAUCGGAAACAGGCAAAAUGGCGACCGAGGGCGGACUGGCGCCUGCCGGCGACGGCGACAUGCCCGUGGGCGGGCCCAAGACGCCCCAGCAGAUCGCCGCGCAACGUCGCCUCCAGCAGACACAGGCACAAGUUGACGAGGUGGUGGACAUCAUGAAAACAAAUGUCGAAAAGGUGCUGGAGCGCGAUUCCAAGCUCUCGGAGCUUGAUGAUAGAGCAGACGCACUCCAGCAUGGCGCAUCACAGUUUGAGCAACAGGCCGGGAAGCUGAAAAGCAAAUUCUGGUUGCAGAAUUUAAAGAUGAUGAUAAUCGCGGCUGUGAUCGGAAUCGUCAUCCUGGCUCUGAUCAUUGCCAACUGUGUGUGAACAACUUUGGAGCAGUUUCAUUUAGAAGUAACUUAUUAUAAUGUUUAUAGUAUAACGUUAUUUUAUUGCGUUAAAACUAAGCCUAGUUUGGUCUGUAAACUUCGGGUACGGAGGAAAGAUGGCUGAGAAGCUCUCUACUGAAUUCCAUCACGUACAGCCUAAUUUCAAAUUUUUUUUACCUGUCCUCGAGUUCAAUCAGCACCGUCUUCGAUGUACCUACCCAAUAUCAAUAUUUCCUACAUAAAACUAUUUAUUCUACCAGGCCCACCGUACACUCAGGUGCGGUGUUAACUUAGGUCCAGUCUCUAUUCGUAUUCACGUUCCCUUAGUGUGCAGCGGGCCUAAAGUAAAGAGUUUAGAAAACUGUAUUUUCUUCACAUCAUUAUCAACUGUCAUGACUUUAAGAAAAGUAUUUUUAGAUGAAUUUUCGUUAUUAAAAUGUUUAUCUUAGAAUAACAACUGUAAUUUGCUAAACGCUAUACACAACCUAAAGCUUAUUGAAAACGACCAUAUCUCCAUUUUCCAACAUAAAAUAUCAAUGAGAUCGACAUAAGGGAAUUUUUAAAAAUUUUAGACCUUAAUUUUCUUUUGAUUCGGACCAAGUUUCUUAAGUAAUCAUUUUUUACCGAUGUUUAUGAAUUUGUAUUUUCAAUUUCGAAUAAUUUAACUGUUGCUCUUUGAUAAAACGCCUAUAUGGAUAUGUUUCUAUCUUGUAAGUAUGGAAUUUCGUAAACUUUUAAAAUGUUGAAUAUAUGGAUAUUGAUCUCACGUAGAAUAUCCGCAGCUGACAUUGUCGUUCUGGUCCACGUUCUUUUAAAACUAAGUAUCUAGUCAGAAAAAUAGUACUUAAACAAAUAACAUUUUAGAAUCAUUUUACUGCUUCUAUGUACGCAAAUAUAUUAAACUUUUGAUUUGGGUAACUUAAUGGGUGUGAAUAACGAUCGACUAAGAAUGGUUUGCUUAUUCGCCUAGUACUAGUCAGUCUACAUGUUGUAGCUGUUUAAACUAAGUACGUAACUUAAUAUACUUAUUGGCGGUGAUUUCUAAUUGAAACGAAAAUUUAUAAUAUUCAUGUUGUUGUUUGUAAUAAAUAGAAUUAGAUUAAAAAAAUAAUGUUCAUUCCUACGAUCUCUUGUAAUCGUGACUGGCCAAUAUUUUUUAAAUAAUUAUACAUAACCACAUGUUGUAACAGAUAUGUAUCUUAUAUCUUUUUCUGUGUGUACCUAUUGUAUGUAAAAACAGCUUUGUAGUUAGAAAGUGUAAAAAGUUUUACUAUAAUUAGGUGUUUUUAUUGUAACCACACAUAGGCUAAAACGAGUAAAAGUUAAUAAGGACAAAUGUUUAUCCAUAGGGGAAAUUGGCCAGUGUUGGAUUGAAACCAGUCAUUAGUAAAUUAAGUCGAGUUCCAGAAAUAAAUUUAUAAUAAGCCAUGUAUGGGUAACAAUGAAUUAGUUUUUAGAUUUAGACACUAUUGUGGCCGGGUAUAGAGGCCUCAGUAUUGUGUCAAUCCUAGGAUCGAUGUCGUUCUACUAGGGAUAAUGGGUUGACCCAAUAUCGCGCCAGUGUUUCUCUUACAUGUAUUAAAAUACGCAGGGUUUGUGCUGGUCUCAUUCUUCUGAGCCAUAAGAAUUGAGACGGGCAUAAACGGGCCAUAGAAAAAACUGUACAAGAAUAGAUAUGCAUAUGCACGUCGUGUUGAGUCGUUUUUAGGUAUAGUAUUGAUAGCCUACUGAAAUUGUUACAACUACUUACUGACCUCCAUUUUCGAAAUAUUUUUGUACAAAUACAUCCAGUACCAGUUAUAUCAGUCAAAUUAUAUACCUCUAAGCAUUGAUUAACGAGUUAUAAAAAUACAAAAAUCUUAACUUAAUUUAUAUUUGAUAGAUGGGUGAUCUUAAUAAUAAUUCGAAAAUGGAAGUUAUAAAAAUCACUGUAAGGUAAGGUAAAAAAUACACCAGAUAUAUGUUAUAAAUAGAUUUAUACUUUAAAAUAAGAAUAUUCCAUUAGUGAAAAGGUUCGAACCGAAAACUGUUGACAUGUAUUUGCACUAAGAUGCUGCAAUAAGUCAGAAAAUAAAGAUUAUCUUCACUGGUGUUGGGUAUUCCUACAUUAUUUAUGGUCAUAUGAGAACGUUCUCGAGAACGAUACAACUUAUUUUAUGGAAAUAUUUAGGGUCAUAUUUAUUAUUAAAAUGAGCAAGUUUCAGGGUAGCUAAUAACGGUUCAUCAUUAACUAACCUAUUUAUUUUUGCUUCGAAUAUGACCACAGCUAAUUUAAUUGUGAGAAGACUCAAAACGCAUAGUGUAAAAUUAUAUAAAACCACUAAUCAUGAGAAUAGGUACAAAACUUCGAUUUUUCUCCAUUUUAUUCUUUUGUUAUUCCCCAUAUUAUAUUUCGGAUGAACGUUCAGAGACAGAGAGGUAGAUUUAUGUAUUGUCCAACACGGCUACCACUACCACGAGUUGGCAUUUGAUAUUUACGCUCGCACUGGUGGUAGCCAUGAAAGUAUGUGUGUGAAAUUAUACUGAAAUAUCAUGUAACGUAAUUUAAAUUUAACUAAUUAUUUUGAACAUUUCGAUUCGUGAAGGUUAAGAGGUUUGAGCAAACAACAGGUUUCAUUCAUGAUAAGUGGAUUUAUAUUCAAUUUCAAUAUGUGAUGAGACUAGUUUAGACACUAAGUUAUUUAAAAUAUUGAUUAAAGGGUAAAAAAUGCUACCUUUUAGACAUGUAGGUACCUACUUUAUUAUGUAUCUUACAUUUUUAAAUAUUAAAUACUUUUGAUGAUUAAUCUGUUUUAAUGGAAAUGUCGUAAGAAUAUAUUACCCAAAAAUUAUGUUUAUAAAAUUAUGUUUAAUGUUUAGUGACAUCAGUUUUAAAAUAUUUAUAUCUUAAUAUCGGUUUUUAUAUUGCCUAUAUCUAAAGUCCGUCUAAGCUAACUCUGCAGCGACAUUAAAGCGACUAAAUGUGGAUUCGCUACUACAAUCGUCAUAUGAAUUUAACAUUUAUGGUGGCACUCCUAAACUGUCGUUAUGUGCUAUAUUGGCACAGAAUUCGCUUUGACUGACAAUAGGUACCUAAUUUGCAAUUUAUCUUGAAUCGUUAUAUCUAGAUACUUAUGUUAACAUUGUUAACAAAUAUUGAAUAUCUUAACGAAAUUUUAUUAAGGAAAAAUAACAUCAUUUAUCUUUCUUUUAUGAGAAUGAGUAAUUAAAACUUAUUUCUUAUAAAAAUGUAUCUAUAAACGUGUUAUUAAUAACUGUUAAACGUUAAAAAAUCAAACAUAAUCUUAACAGAUAUCAAGCAAAUAUUUGGUAAAUAUUUACAUAUUGUAAUUCACCGUGUAUACAUAGCAUAAUAAGUUCUGUACCUAUGUAUUAUUAUUGCUUAAAUAAAUCAACAUUAAUUAUA